rnacentral:sRNA from 1 species
GGCGAACGUGAGCCGUAUUCCAAAUCCGUUUAAAAAACUGCUGGGCGGUUGUGGACGGCCUGCCAUCUUGGCCAAUACUUCAAGUUACUGGCGUGCGGCAUCUCCCCCCAAGUGUCCCGCCAGUGGAGGUACCGAGGAUCGCGUACCUCAUUGUUACACUCCUAAUGGUCUUGACCCGGAUUCAUCCCCCAGAACCCGG